CGUUAAUCGGAAUUACUGGGCGUAAAGCGUCACGCUAGGCGGCUGGUAUGAUCGGGUGUGAAAUCCCCGGGCUUAACCUGGGAACUGCGCUUCUAACUGGCAGGCUUGAGUGUGGCAGAGGGGGUGGAAUUCCGACGUGUAGCAGUGAAAUGCGUAGAGAUGUGGAGGAACACCGAUGGCGAAGGCAGCCCCUGGGCUAACACUGACGCUCAUGCACGAAAGCGUGGGAGCAAACAGG
rnacentral:rRNA from 1 species